rnacentral:lncRNA from 1 species
UCCCCACGGGCCGGGCACCCCCACGCCGUGCUUUGGCCCGCUCUGGAAACGCCGCUGCCCGCGUCGCUGAGCUGCUCCAGCCCCUGGCGGCUCUCCCUUCCCACCGGCUAUCUCCUUCCCUGCAUCCUUGCAUGGUUUCAUCUUUAAAUGACACAAGCCCGCUCCUUUCACCCUUUCCCAGCAUAAAAGUGUUUUCAGAAGUUUUCAUAUAAUUUUUUCACCUUUUAUUUUACUCCUCGAUUACUAUUUCUCGCUUUUCUUCCCUCCCCUUUGCAGCCAUUCCAGCCAGAUGGCUUUCCAGGCUUGGCUUCCCCUGCCAUUGCCGAAGCAGCUGGUGGUGUUCGGGCUGGGCGACUGGAGCUGUUACUCUGCGGACACGAGCAUCGCCGUGGAUGUGCUGGUGUCCCCAGGCAUUGCCCCACAGCGGGUCGGCACGCUGGAGCCCACCCGCAGGUCACAGCAGGAGGGGCAUCCUAGAAAAGCUUUCUGAUCUCUGGUGCUGCCUGGUUCUGCUGCUGUUACCCAAAUCCUGCUGGUCCUCCACCAUGGUGUUUCCCUCUAGUGGUGGUUCCUUUUGGCUGCUUUCAGGACUGGAUCUCUUUUGGUUNNNNNNNNNNAUCUAGUAUGGGAGCAGGAAUUUUGUCCUGGUCAGUGUCACUUGUGGGCUGAAAAGCCAUGGUCCCUUGGGCAGGUCUCUGGUGUGGGAAGGCGACUGGAGAACAGAUCUUUUCAUGGCCUCGUUGAAAGAGAUGGACAAAGGCAACCCUGUGAGGCUUGUUCUGACUGUCAAUGGACAGCUGCUCCGAGGUGUCUCCAGCAGUACACCUGUCCAUCCCUUCCUUGUACCCGAGACCAGCCAGUCACCAGUGCUUCCAGCAGAUGAUAGGGCCCUUGGCCAGGACCUGGAGGAUCCUACUGAGGUUAAGAGUCAGAGCUCAGAGGUGGCUGCCAGAGCAUCCAGGCCUGUGAAGGAGGACAUCCGGCCACCGCUGAGAACCAUGGUGGUACCCUGUGCUCUGAAGCCCCCAGCUGGAAAGGUGGAAUCCAAUGAGGCCUGGAAGAAGAGUCCUGACCAAGGACCACCACCAAGAGUCCACUCCAAAAAGCCCAGAAAGGUUUUAUUUGAACCCACAACAUCUGAGAGAGAUCUUGAUGAAGAAGGUAAUUCUGGUAGCUUCCAACUUUAUUUUACAGAUCUUGUCUGAAUGAUCUAUCAAAUGCUGCUGGGCUGCACCUUCCCAUUCCAUUUCUCUAUGUACCUCCAAGGCAUGAUGGGCUUGUAUGUCUGGCUUUGAAAUAAUGAGAAUGCACUUUAUUUAUUUAGCUGCUCAAUGAGUUUUUGCCUUGUUGGGAAAAGGCUAGAAAUGGACCAUGGGGUAUAACAUCUUAGUGCCACCACUUUUUACUCUGACAUAAUGCCUAUCUUUUCAUACAAGUAAAACUGUUUUAUAAACUAAGGCAAAUAUUGUUAACCUUGUUUUACAAAAGAGUAACUGAGGCACAAGAAAGUUACCUUCUGUAACCUCUGCAUUAGUCUGUUUGUACCCCUGCUAAUAGCAUACCACUUGGUGUAUGGAAGACACUGGUUAUUAGUAUAGUAUAGAGACUAUGAAAAGGAAUUGUACUGGCUUUUGAGUAGUGAGAAGGUAACUGCCAAAGGGUUUGGAAACAAAACCUUAGGCGUCUGGAGUGGGAAUUCCAAGUCAACUCCAGAGUGUGACCAAGUUUAUGUGUAAAGGUUUGGCAAUAACUUAGUGGUUCCCAUAAGAAAUUACUUAUUAGGACUUGCCUUACUUGUCAUAAAGGCAAAUAUAGCUUCAUCAUAAAGUUUUUUUCUGCUGCAGGCAGCAUGAGAAGGGGGGAAAUGAUCUUCUAUCAGAGGGGUAAAAUGCAAUGGUGACAGUAUUUGGCAGUCAGAGGAAGUGUGCCCUGCUCUUACCUAUUUUCUUCAGAUGAGACUUAAUUCAUGAUUCUUGGUCUUGCACCUUGUUUGUUGCAGUGAGGUAGCUUUGUGCUGGAGGUUGGAGGAAGGAAGGUCAAAGGGCUCUUACACAGUGGAGCUGAGCACUUUUCACAGUAUGUGUGCUGGCUGCUUUAUGGGGCCA